rnacentral:snoRNA from 1 species
UAAAACGGUGAUGAGUUAAUUACAGACACAGACCUGUAAUGAUUAGCGGAAAUGAUCGCAAUUCAUUGAACAUCUAAGGGACUGAGUUUUA